rnacentral:rRNA from 1 species
GAUGAACGCUAGCGGCGGGCUUAAUACAUGCAAGUCAAGGGGUAGCAAUACACCGGCGUACGGGUGCGUAACGCGUAUGGAACCUGCCCUUAUCUGGGGGAUAACUCGGGGAAACUCGAGCUAAUACCGCAUAAGAUAGUAGAAUGGCAUCAUUCAGCUAUUAAAGAUUUAUCGGAUAAGGAUGGCCAUGCGUAAGAUUAGAUAGUUGGUGGGGUAACGGCUCACCAAGUCUACGAUCUUUAGGGGCUCUGAGAGGAGAAUCCCCCACACUGGCACUGAGAUACGGGCCAGACUCCUACGGGAGGCAGCAGUAGGGAAUAUUGGGCAAUGGGCGGAAGCCUGACCCAGCCACGCCGCGUGCAGGAAGAAGGCCCUCUGGGUUGUAAACUGCUUUUGAUUGGGAAGAAAGCACCUCAUGCGUGGGAUUUUGACGGUACCAAUCGAAUAAGCCACGGCUAACUACGUGCCAGCCGCCGCGGUAAGAC